rnacentral:rRNA from 1 species
GGUUAAGCGACUAAGCGUACACGGUGGAUGCCCUGGCAGUCAGAGGCGAUGAAGGACGUGCUAAUCUGCGAAAAGCGCCGGCGAGGUGAUAUGAACCCUUGACCCGGCGAUGUCCGAAUGGGGAAACCCAGUGCAAUCCGUUGCACUAUCGUUAACUGAAUACAUAGGUUAACGAGGCGAACCGGGGGAACUGAAACAUCUAAGUACCCCGAGGAAAAGAAAUCAACCGAGAUUCCCCCAGUAGCGGCGAGCGAACGGGGAGCAGCCCGGAGUCUGAAUCAGCUUGUGUGUUAGUGGAACGGUCUGGAAAGUCCGACGGUACAGGGUGAUAGUCCCGUACACGAAAGCACACUUGCUGUGAACUCGAAGAGUAGGGCGGGACACGUGGUAUCCUGUCUGAAUAUGGGGGGACCAUCCUCCAAGGCUAAAUACUCCUGACUGACCGAUAGUGAACCAGUACCGUGAGGGAAAGGCGAAAAGAACCCCGGCGAGGGGAGUGAAAAAGAACCUGAAACCGUGUACGUACAAGCAGUGGGAGCACCUUCGGGUGUGACUGCGUACCUUUUGUAUAAUGGGUCAGCGACUUAUAUUCUGUAGCAAGGUUAACCGUAUAGGGGAGCCGAAGGGAAACCGAGUCUUAACUGGGCGUUAAGUUGCAGGGUAUAGACCCGAAACCCGGUGAUCUAGCCAUGGGCAGGUUGAAGGUUGGGUAACACUAACUGGAGGACCGAACCGACUAAUGUUGAAAAAUUAGCGGAUGACCUGUGGCUGGGGGUGAAAGGCCAAUCAAACCGGGAGAUAGCUGGUUCUCCCCGAAAGCUAUUUAGGUAGCGCCUCGUGAACUCAUCUUCGGGGGUAGAGCACUGUUUCGGCUAGGGGGCCAUCCCGGCUUACCAACCCGAUGCAAACUACGAAUACCGAAGAAUGUUAUCACGGGAGACACACGGCGGGUGCUAACGUCCGUCGUGAAGAGGGAAACAACCCAGACCGCCAGCUAAGGUCCCAAAGUCAUGGUUAAGUGGGAAACGAUGUGGGAAGGCACAGACAGCCAGGAUGUUGGCUUAGAAGCAGCCAUCAUUUAAAGAAAGCGUAAUAGCUCACUGGUCGAGUCGGCCUGCGCGGAAGAUGUAACGGGGCUAAACCAUGCACCGAAGCUGCGGCAGCGAC